GGAUUUAUUGGGCGUAAAGCGAGCGCAGGCGGUUAGAUAAGUCUGAAGUUAAAGGCUGUGGCUUAACCAUAGUACGCUUUGGAAACUGUUUAACUUGAGUGCAGAAGGGGAGAGUGGAAUUCCAUGUGUAGCGGUGAAAUGCGUAGAUAUAUGGAGGAACACCGGUGGCGAAAGCGGCUCUNUGGUCUGUAACUGACGCUGAGGCUCGAAAGCGUGGGGAGCGAACAGGAUUAGAUACCCUGGUAGUCCACGCCGUAAACGAUGAGUGCUAGGUGUUAGGCCCUUUCCGGGGCUUAGUGCCGCAGCUAACGCAUUAAGCACUCCGCCUGGGGAGUACGACCGCAAGGUUGAAACUCAAAGGAAUUGACGGGGGCCCGCACAAGCGGUGGAGCAUGUGGUUUAAUUCGAAGCAACGCGAAGAACCUUACCAGGUCUUGACAUCCCGAUGCCCGCUCUAGAGAUAGAGUUUUACUUCGGUACAUCGGUGACAGGUGGUGCAUGGUUGUCGUCAGCUCGUGUCGUGAGAUGUUGGGUUAAGUCCCGCAACGAGCGCAACCCUUAUUGUUAGUUGCCAUCAUUCAGUUGGGCACUCUAGCGAGACUGCCGGUAAUAAACCGGAGGAAGGUGGGGAUGACGUCAAAUCAUCAUGCCCCUUAUGACCUGGGCUACACACGUGCUACAAUGGCUGGUACAACGAGUCGCAAGUCGGUGACGGCAAGCUAAUCUCUUAAAGCCAGUCUCAGUUCGGAUUGUAGGCUGCAACUCGCCUACAUGAAGUCGGAAUCGCUAGUGAUCGCGGAUCAGCACGCCGCGGUGAAUACGUUCCCGGGCCUUGUACACACCGCCCGUCACACCACGAGAGUUUGUAACACCCGAAGUCGGNGAGGUA
rnacentral:rRNA from 1 species